GACGAACGCUGGCGGCGUGCCUAAUACAUGCAAGUCGAGCGAGCGGAACUAACAGAUUUACUUCGGUAAUGACGUUAGGAAAGCGAGCGGCGGAUGGGUGAGUAACACGUGGGGAACCUGCCCCAUAGUCUGGGAUACCACUUGGAAACAGGUGCUAAUACCGGAUAAGAAAGCAGAUCGCAUGAUCAGCUUUUAAAAGGCGGCGUAAGCUGUCGCUAUGGGAUGGCCCCGCGGUGCAUUAGCUAGUUGGUAAGGUAAAGGCUUACCAAGGCGAUGAUGCAUAGCCGAGUUGAGAGACUGAUCGGCCACAUUGGGACUGAGACACGGCCCAAACUCCUACGGGAGGCAGCAGUAGGGAAUCUUCCACAAUGGACGCAAGUCUGAUGGAGCAACGCCGCGUGAGCGAAGAAGGUUUUCGGAUCGUAAAGCUCUGUUGUUGGUGAAGAAGGAUAGAGGUAGUA
rnacentral:rRNA from 1 species